CGAUUUCAAAGAAGUAUUUCUUAGUAAUUCUUUUGACUGAUUGCCCGAACUUUCAGUUCUUUACACCUUUGAAAUGUCUGCUAUUCAUCUAUAACGAAAUUGAUUUGAUGAAUAUUGUUUAAAGCUGCAGUUAUUCGAUUUUAAAUAGAUGUGUAAAUACGGCGAAUAUUCGUCCCCCUUUGACAAAACAACAGGAAAUUUCAAACACCCUUUAACCUAACUUUUCAGAUGAUUUUUUUUCAAACGCA
rnacentral:lncRNA from 1 species